rnacentral:rRNA from 1 species
AAUAGAUACCCAGGUAGUCCACGCCGUAAACGAUGAGUGCUAAGUGUUAGAGGGUUUCCGCCCUUUAGUGCUGAAGUUAACGCAUUAAGCACUCCGCCUGGGGAGUACGGCCGCAAGGCUGAAACUCAAAGGAAUUGACGGGGGGCCCGCACAAGCGGUGGAGCAUGUGGUUUAAUUCGAAGCAACGCGAAGAACCUUACCAGGUCUUGACAUCCUCUGACAACCCUAGAGAUAGGGCUUCUCCUUCGGGAGCAGAGUGACAGGUGGUGCAUGGUUGUCGUCAGCUCGUGUCGUGAGAUGUUGGGUUAAGUCCCGCAACGAGCGCAACCCUUGAUCUUAGUUGCCAUCAUUCAGUUGGGCACUCUAAGGUGACUGCCGGUGACAAACCGGAGGAAGGUGGGGAUGACGUCAAAUCAUCAUGCCCCUUAUGACCUGGGCUACACACGUGCUACAAUGGACGGUACAAAGAGCUGCAAGACCGCGAGGUGGAGCUAAUCUCAUAAAACCGUUCUCAGUUCGGAUUGUAGG